AUUGAACGCUGGCGGCACGGCCUAACACAUGCAAGUCGAGCGGAUGACAGGACGCUUGCUCCUGAAUUCAGCGGCGGACGGGUGAGUAAUGCCUAGGAAUCUGCCUGGUAGUGGGGGACAACGUUUCGAAAGGAACGCUAAUACCGCAUACGUCCUACGGGAGAAAGCAGGGGACCUUCGGGCCUUGCGCUAUCAGAUGAGCCUAGGUCGGAUUAGCUAGUUGGUGAGGUAAUGGCUCACCAAGGCGACGAUCCGUAACUGGUCUGAGAGGAUGAUCAGUCACACUGGAACUGAGACACGGCCCAGACUCCUACGGGAGGCAGCAGUGGGGAAUAUUGGACAAUGGGCGAAAGCCUGAUCCAGCCAUGCCGCGUGUGUGAAGAAGGUCUUCGGAUUGUAAAGCACUUUAAGUUGGGAGGAAGGGUUGUAGAUUAAUACUCUGCAAUUUUGACGUUACCGACAGAAUAAGCACCGGCUAACUCUGUGCCAGCAGCCGCGGUAAUACAGAGGGUGCAAGCGUUAAUCGGAAUUACUGGGCGUAAAGCGCGCGUAGGUGGUUUGUUAAGUUGGAUGUGAAAGCCCCGGGCUCAACCUGGGAACUGCAUUCAAAACUGACAAGCUAGAGUAUGGUAGAGGGUGGUGGAAUUUCCUGUGUAGCGGUGAAAUGCGUAGAUAUAGGAAGGAACACCAGUGGCGAAGGCGACCACCUGGACUGAUACUGACACUGAGGUGCGAAAGCGUGGGGGAGCAAACAGGAUUAGAUACCCUGGUAGUCCACGCCGUAAACGAUGUCAACUAGCCGUUGGGGACCUUGAGUCUUUAGUGGCGCAGCUAACGCAUUAAGUUGACCGCCUGGGGAGUACGGCCGCAAGGUUAAAACUCAAAUGAAUUGACGGGGGCCCGCACAAGCGGUGGAGCAUGUGGUUUAAUUCGAAGCAACGCGAAGAACCUUACCAGGCCUUGACAUCCAAUGAACUUUCCAGAGAUGGAUUGGUGCCUUCGGGAGCAUUGAGACAGGUGCUGCAUGGCUGUCGUCAGCUCGUGUCGUGAGAUGUUGGGUUAAGUCCCGUAACGAGCGCAACCCUUGUCCUUAGUUACCAGCACGUUAUGGUGGGCACUCUAAGGAGACUGCCGGUGACAAACCGGAGGAAGGUGGGGAUGACGUCAAGUCAUCAUGGCCCUUACGGCCUGGGCUACACACGUGCUACAAUGGUCGGUACAGAGGGUUGCCAAGCCGCGAGGUGGAGCUAAUCCCACAAAACCGACCGUAGUCCGGAUCGCAGUCUGCAACUCGACUGCGUGAAGUCGGAAUCGCUAGUAAUCGCGAAUCAGAAUGUCGCGGUGAAUACGUUCCCGGGCCUUGUACACACCGCCCGCCACACCAUGGGAGUGGGUUGCACCAGAAGUAGCUAGUCUAACCUUCGGGAGGACGGUUACCACGGUGUGAUUCAUGACUGGGGU
rnacentral:rRNA from 1 species